UAUAAAUUCAUCACAAUUCUAAUACGGUGUGCGCCCCUCCUCCUUCCCUUACCCUGACCCUAACCUUCCAACCGUUGAUUCCUGCAGCAAUCUUCCCUAAGGGAGACACCCCGGCUGUAGGCUCACUUCCUCUCCCAAGUCCCAUUCCUUUCACAAGAGUCAAAUCCCUACAGUGGAUUCCUGGACCGUUUUUUCUAAAAGAAGAUCCCAGUCCUCUGGCUUGCCCCUCCCGUCGUGACUCCCAUAUUUGAUGAGUCUGAAUGAAAAUCUGAUGAAACAGAUGUUACUUGAAGCUGAGUGACUUUCUCAGGGUCAAGCAAAUAAGUAAAUGCAGGAGCCAGAAUUAUACCCCAGGAUCCCCAUCACAAGGAGGGGAGGGCUACCAUCCCAGCUGCAAACUCUCAUUCAAAGUUUAUGCUGCAGCCAGCAGUGUCCUUGGAGUCUAGUUCAAAGCUGAAGAGAGUGAACCAUGGAACUGGGAGCCAUUGGCGGAGAGGCUGGCCUGAAGGAAGGGAAGUGUUUCAGCCAGAAUGCACUGACGCACAACCAGGAAACCACAAGACUGAGUAACUACCAGUUGCCAUGAAAUAAAUCACAUCAUCAUAUGGCAGAUCCAGCUAAUAGCUGAGACUGGCAGGAUAACUGAACCGUGUCCUCAGAGCUAAAUGAUGGAGAAAUUGGACUGGCCAUGGAGCACUUCAAAUUGAUUGCUUAGUAAUGGGAUAUUUUUCCUGGAAAGACAACAGAAUACUUCUGAAUUGUUGGUUCUGUCAUGGGUACAGGCUCCCAUGUACAGGAAAAUAAAGAAAGUGUGAUGAAUUUUUCA